UAAGUGCUCUCUGUUAGGGUGA
rnacentral:miRNA from 1 species